UGCGUAGGCGGAAUAUUAAGUCAGUGGUGAAAUCCUGCGGCUCAACCGUAGAACUGCCAUUGAUACUGAUAUUCUUGAAUGUAGUUGAGGUAGGCGGAAUGUGUAAUGUAGCGGUGAAAGGCUUAGAUAUUACACAGAACACCGAUUGCGAAGGCAGCUUACUAAACUAUGAUUGACGCUGAUGCACGAAAGCGUGUGGAGCGAACAGGAUUAGAUACCCUGGUAGUCC
rnacentral:rRNA from 1 species